rnacentral:ribozyme from 1 species
UUGUUUGUUGUUUGUUGUUUGUUUUUGUUUUACCCGUGACUGCUUCGUCAACGUUCUUUGCCCCUCGCUGUGCCUUGCUUCUCAGGACGCCGAUGAAGAACGAGUGAGGGGGUACGUUCGAGCUACAAGACAACAUGAAUCUUCUCUUUUUUUUUAUUUGUGUAUAUAAGUUUUUUGUAAUCAU